ACUACAAGAGAAAAGGGUUCACUAAGGAGGGUUCCCCCUCAUCACACGCGCCGCCAUCAUCUCUCAGGUCACUCCUCGCGCGACUCUUCCCCGAGACAGAACCGUAGGAAGGCUUCCUCACCACCCCCGCUCGCCAGACUCAUCAUCCUCCUCCUCUUCAGCUCACGCCAUCUCCAUUUGGGAGCUUCGGAUCCGAAUCUCCUCCACUCAUCCACCUGCAUUGCGUAACCCACCGCCGGCAAAGCCAUUUUCCUCCAACCGAUUAUAAGGAGGGAGCUCUUCUCGCGAAGCCUCGAGAUCUCGUGGCUACGAGUUCAGCGUUCUACACGGUUGGAAGCCUCCUACAUCCGUUCACAGCUCCUUCGUUGACAGAUUUGCUGCUGGAGAAGCCUCAUCCGGAUCACACUUUCAUCCUCCUUCGAUCAGCCACUUCCACAGAAGCACCUUCAUCUUCCCCGAGUUCCGUUCCUUUGCAACUCCGCCAGCACCACAGCCACUCCAUCCAGCGAUUCCACCGCCCUUCAUCGGAUCUGGACAGCCUUCAUCAGAUCUGGACAGCAAGCUCAUCGGAUCUGGACAGCCUUCAUCAGAUCUAGACAGCAGCUCUUCCGGCGAUUCCGGCGAGCAAGCUUUCUUACAGAGUGAGAUGUCCCAACUUGCUAGAAGAAUUGACGAUGAGUUUACCAUGAUUAUACUUAUCCAUGGAAAUAAGAGAAGAAAGAAGAGGAAAAGUAUUCUGCCCCUUUUGCUUGCAAGUUGGCAUGGGAGGUUUUGAAAAAAUAUUAUUCACAUAUAUUUCGACGUGGUGGACGUAGACGGCGGUCACAGGACCAGACAAAUCCAUGAACCUAUGCCACCCCCUAAUCAGGCAGGACCAUCCCAUGUGUCUUCUCCACCGGCAUCAUAUUCCCCUGCUAGUGUACCUAUGCCACCCCUUCACCAGUCGGACCCAUCUCAUCUACCUUCUGCAUCGGUUUCAUAUUCGCAUCGAAAAAUAUGAUCAACUCGAGUUAGCCCAAACAUGCUCACAAGCUGGUAUCGAUAGUUAGGGGUUUUGCUCAAGGAUAUUAGGGAUGAGUUCCUUGAGCAAAACCCAAAGAUUAGUUGGAACAUCUUCCUCCACAUUAGUACUUACGAUCCAAAUAAAUACCUUGACUGAUGAAGUUAGCAAUAUGAAGGAAAUAAUAUCGCAAAGAGACCAAGAAAGGGCGCAAAGUCAGAAGUCUUCUAAUGACGAUGAUGAUGAUGACUACGAUGAUAAUGAUGAUGGUGAGUUGGUGAGACGAACUAAAGGUCGGAGAAAAAAGCAAAGGAGAUUUGAGGGGGAGCAAAACUUUUGUGGCAGACGAAGAUGAUUUAAUGUAUUCUUAGUUUAUUUACCUUCUUGGAUGGAUGAUGGACUUAUAUAACAUUUGGUUGUUGAACUUGUAUAAUAUUUUCUAGAAGCUUGAACAAGAUAGAUUUUGUAAAAUUUGUUGAGAUCUUUAUAUUUGUUGAAUUAUGAGUUGAGUUCAAUUAUUAAUACUGUAUGUAAAAUUAGGAUGUGUUGAAUAUAUAUAAUCUGUUAUUUGAA